rnacentral:rRNA from 1 species
CUAAGCAAGCUAGCGGAUGGAAGUGCUAGUCUAAGGAUGUAGGAGCUUAUACAGGCAAAUCCGUAUAAGAAUACUCCGAGAUCUUAAAGGCUCUUUGAAGUCUUCGGAUGGAUAGGAGAAUUGCUGAUGCCGUCGAGCCAAGAAAAGUUUCUAAGUUUAGCUAAUGUUGCCCGUACCGUAAACCGACACAGGUGGGUGGGAUGAGUAUUCUAAGGCGCGUGGAAGAACUCUCUUUAAGGAACUCUGCAAAAUAGCACCGUAUCUUCGGUAUAAGGUGUGGUUCGCUUUGUAUUAGAAUUUACUUCGAAAGCAAAGAAACUUACAACAAAGAGUCCCUCCCGACUGUUUACCAAAAACACAGCACUCUGCUAACUCGUAAGAGGAUGUAUAGGGUGUGACGCCUGCCCGGUGCUCGAAGGUUAAUUGAUGGGGUUAGCAUUAGCGAAGCUCUUGAUCGAAGCCCGAGUAAACGGCGGCCGUAACUAUAACGGUCCUAAGGUAGCGAAAUUCCUUGUCGGUUAAAUACCGACCUGCAUGAAUGGCGUAACGAGAUGGGAGCUGUCUCAAAGAGGGAUCCAGUGAAAUUGUAGUGGAGGUGAAAAUUCCUCCUACCCGCGGCAAGACGGAAAGACCCCGUGGACCUUUACUACAGCUUGACACUGCUAUUUGGAUAAGAAUGUGCAGGAUAGGUGGGAGGCUUUGAGUAAUAGACGCCAGUUUAUUAUGAGCCAUUGUUGAGAUACCACUCUUUCUUAUUUGGGUAGCUAACCAGCUUGAGUUAUCCUCAAGUGGGACAAUGUCUGGUGGGUAGUUUGACUGGGGCGGUCGCCUCCCAAAUAAUAACGGAGGCUUACAAAGGUUGGCUCAGAACGGUUGGAAAUCGUUCGUAGAGUAUAAAGGUAUAAGCCAGCUUAACUGCAAGACAUACAAGUCAAGCAGAGACGAAAGUCGGUCUUAGUGAUCCGGUGGUUCUGUGUGGAAGGGCCAUCGCUCAAAGGAUAAAAGGUACCCCGGGGAUAACAGGCUGAUCUCCCCCAAGAGCUCACAUCGACGGGGAGGUUUGGCACCUCGAUGUCGGCUCAUCGCAUCCUGGGGCUGGAGCAGGUCCCAAGGGUAUGGCUGUUCGCCAUUUAAAGCGGUACGCGAGCUGGGUUCAGAACGUCGUGAGACAGUUCGGUCCCUAUCUGCCGUGGGCGUAAGAAGAUUGAAGAGAUUUGACCCUAGUACGAGAGGACCGGGUUGAACAAACCACUGGUGUAGCUGUUGUUCUGCCAAGAGCAUCGCAGCGUAGCUAAGUUUGGAACGGAUAAACGCUGAAAGCAUCUAAGCGUGAAGCCAACUCUAAGAUGAAUCUUCUCUAAGCUCUCUAGAAGACUACUAGUUUGAUAGGCUGGGUGUGUAAUGGAUGAAAGUCCUUUAGCUGACCAGUACUAAUAGAGCGUUUGGCUUAUCUUUUUUAUAAGCAU